AGGAUCUGCCGUUGCUAUGAUAUGGUUUUGCCCCAUUUGUCGUUGCCUGGGUGCCCCUUGUGUACCAUUUGCGGCAAAUCAAGAAGUUCCUGAAGUUUUCGAUGUUCUGCUUGAUGAGGACUGCUUCAGGAGGAUGUUUUUCUGUAGUGGAUGUUUGGCCGACUGGAGAAGGACUUUGGAAGGAAGAAAUGA